GCCCCAUGGACAGUGGCAUUAGUGCUUUCACACUUCCCAGUCUUGUUCGCUAUGUAUUUGCGUAUUGCUGCUGUCCUCGGCCUGCUCUCUGUGAGCACUGCAGGUCCCUUACCAUGCGAGGAUGUGGUCCGGCCCCUGGUCCUGGAGGAUUUCAGUUCGAUAUUAGGAAAAUGGAUUGUCAUUGAAGCAACUGUGGAUUCCCAGAAAUAUGCUGCAUUAUUGAAAACAGUGAACAGCGCUUGGGUGGAGAUUCUGCCUACUUAUCACAACAACACAGCCAUCUUCAAUAAGGCAAACAUGAUAAAUGGAGUAUGUUCUUAUUCACCAACAAAUAUUUCAAUUUCAGACAGCGUUGUCCAAUUCACCAUGGAAGGAAAUAUGACUGGCAACAGCACUGCUACCUUCCUGCGAACCUGCGCUGAUUGUCUUGUCAUGAAAGGGACCUCAUUCCUUGAAGGUCACAUCGUCAGAACACUCCACAUAUUCGGAAGAACAGGAAAACUGAGCGAUUUUGAUCAGAAAACAUACAGGAGACAAGUGGAAUGCCUAGGACUACCACAGCCAAACUUCAUUCAUAAUGAGAAGCAAGAGCUUUGUCCACAGGCUGGACUCAUCUGAAGGCAAGCCUGAGCAAGAUAAGAGUGAUUAAUACAUUAAUUAAUACGUUGUUGAUAAAUAAGACAUAUUCUACAUAAAAUCUUUGAAAUAUUCGAAAUGUGUAUUUUAUCCUAAAAAGGAAAUUAAAAGUAAAACACAGCAAGACAUGUUGAAAGCAAAUCAUUUUAUCGAAAUCCCUUUUUAGAGGAUUAGUACACAUCUGUCCAGUUCUAUUGCAAAAUAGAAAACUACUAUCUGGUAAAUAUACACUACUCUACUUGUUUGAUGUCGACUGUAACCAAACACCAGGGAUAAUACUGUAUUUCCCAAACUCACAGUCAAUUCUUUUCUUUGUGUGAGUCUGAGUAGAUUACACAUACAAAAAUGUGCACAUUAUGUAGGCUUGAAGAUUAUAGUAGCACAUUCACAAAUUAAAUUUUGAGAUUUAACAUCAAAUUAAGAGCAAAUUCUUAAAAUCUGCCAGCAGUAGUAAAACCCCUUCUUUGGAGACAUUGUAUAUUUCACUUCAAAUUGAAAAAAAAAAAAAAAAAAUUUACACUGAAAAUUUCAGUUUUGUAGGAGUAGAGUUAAUUCCAUGAGUCACAUAGCUGACACACAACUCACAUAACCAAUCCUGUUCCUUGACUAUAAUACCACAUUACCUCCAACCUUUUGUAUCAUAAAAGUAAACAUUAUAAAAAGGCUAAAAAUGCUGCAGAAACAUAAAUGCAACAAGCAUCUUUGGAAUGUACAAAAACACAUGCAUUCAGUGUGGGUAACACACACAUACACACACACACACACACAUUUUGGAUCACGCACAUCCUGUUUGGGAUAAAUGUGAUCCUGUUUGUACAGUUUUUUCUUGCUUAUCUCUAUUACUGUUCAAAUGGAACAAGCCUUCAAUUUCACCCAUUAAUUUUUUUUCACCAAAAGAGCAGAUGGAAGAUAUGACCCUAAUUCUGAAAGCUUAUAUGUACAGUAUGUGAAAAAGAAUCACAUGCCCCAAGUAACAAGGGUGUUACCCUUCAAAGAUAACACUGGUCUCAGACCACAAUUAAAGUUUAAUGCGUUUUAUUUAUCAAAUAAAUUCUGAGCUUACCAGAUGUUCUAGUUUCACAACACUGUCCGUUUAAAGUUUGGACGGCGUUAUUUCACUUCAUUAUUUGCUUAACUGCUAAAGAGAGCCACAAUUUCCUUACAUCGUAAGGAUCUGGUCUCGCCCCUGACUCUGGAAAAUUUGAGUUAAUGGCUUAGGUAAAUAGCUUUAGGUUUGAUUCUUUGUUUGUGUUUGAUAUGGCUCCUCUGAGUCAAGGAUGUAUGUGUACUUAGCAAAAACUUUAAAUUAUUUGUCUUUAGUAAAUACACUUUAAAGCAAGUAUUAUACAGGGGGUCAAGCCAUGUGUUGUGGAUAUUAAUAUAAUGAGUUUAAAAAUAAAUUAAUUUCUGCAAAAAACUAUAACUCAGUUAUGAAUUGUGCAUUUUCACUUGUAAUCACAUGUCUGAAAGGAUACAAUAUGGCUAAUUAUAUAAUUAGAGGCUCUAUAUAAUUCUUAUUUGUUACUGUGAGGGUUUAUCAGACA